rnacentral:tRNA from 1 species
GCGGACGUGGCGAAAUCGGUAGACGCAGCGGACUUAAAAUCCGCUUCCCUUUGGGAGUGCGGGUUCAAGUCCCGCCGUCCGUA